rnacentral:ribozyme from 13 species
AGUCGGCAAAACAACAUAGCCCAAGAAUAGGAACACACUUAAAUGCUGGUUAUAAAUAUGUUCACAAUAUGCCUUUUUCUUGUCUUUCCAUCCUUUUGUUUUUAUAAUAUUUU